rnacentral:rRNA from 1 species
UACGGAGGGGGCUAGCGUUGUUCGGAAUUACUGGGCGUAAAGCGCACGUAGGCGGACUGGAAAGUUGGGGGUGAAAUCCCGGGGCUCAACCUCGGAACUGCCUCCAAAACUAUCAGUCUGGAGUUCGAGAGAGGUGAGUGGAAUUCCGAGUGUAGAGGUGAAAUUCGUAGAUAUUCGGAGGAACACCAGUGGCGAAGGCGGCUCACUGGCUCGAUACUGACGCUGAGGUGCGAAAGCGUGGGGAGCAAACAGG